rnacentral:misc_RNA from 1 species
GAUGAAGAACGCAGCGAAAUGCGAUAAGUAGUGUGAAUUGCAGAAUUCAGUGAAUCAUCGAAUCUUUGAACGCACAUUGCGCCGCUUGGUAGUACAUGGGGCAUGCCUGUUAGAGCGUCAUUUGUACCUUCAAGCUUUGCUUGGUGUUGGGUGUUUGUCUCGCCUUUGCGUGUAGACUCGCCUUAAAAUAAUUGGCAGCCGGCGUAUUGAUUUCGGAGCGCAGUACAUCUCGCGCUUUGCACUCAUAACGACAGCGUCCAAAAGUACAUUUUACACUCUUGACCUCGGAUCAGGUAGGGAUACCCGCUGAACUUAAGCAUAUCAAUAAGCGGAGGA